UAAAAUUUAAAUUAAAAAUACUAAAAUAGUAUUUAAUUAUUUAUUGAACUUAAAUAUUUUGGCGGUAUUUUAGUUUAUUUAGAGGAAUCUGUUUAUUAAUUGAUAAUCCACGAAUAAAUUUACUUAAUUUAUUAUUUUGUAUAUCAUUGUUAGAAAAAUAUUUUUUAAUGAUAAUAAUAUUUUAAAAUUAUGAAAAAAAUCAAAUCAAAUCAAGAUGCAGAGUAUAAUUAAGAAUAUAAUGGAUUACAAUAAAUUUAUUUAUAUGAACUUUGAUUUGUAAUAAUUAAAUAAAGGUGGAUUUAAAUGUAAUUU
rnacentral:rRNA from 1 species